UCUGUCAGCCACUCGCACCUAAUGGUGUUAGGUACUAUGCAUGUUCCCUGCACCUCUACUCUCUGUCUACUCUGCGGUCCGGACCGAGCUGGCGCCACUGCUGUCGCGACGUCUGUCUCCGCCUCUCCCUCGUUAUACAACAGCCUCAUGGCCUCUGAAAAUACUUGAAUAAAACACUUACCUAACAUGCGAUCUAUUAUUAUGCUGCCUCCGUCACACUGGGUAAAUCCCGUUUCGAUUUUUUACGUACUUAUGUUAAUGUGUUUUAUAAGGGGUUGUAGCUCACAAG